UGGGGAAUAUUGGACAAUGGGGGCAACCCUGAUCCAGCAAUGCCGCGUGUGUGAAGAAGGCCUGCGGGUUGUAAAGCACUUUCAGUAGAGAAGAAAAACCCAGGGGUUAAUACCCCCAGGGCUUGACGUAACCUACAGAAGAAGCACCGGCUAACUCCGUGCCAGCAGCCGCGGUAAUACGGAGGGUGCGAGCGUUAAUCGGAAUUACUGGGCGUAAAGCGCGCGUAGGCGGUCUGGUCAGUCGGAUGUGAAAGCCCCGGGCUUAACCUGGGAACUGCAUUCGAUACUGCCAAACUAGAAUGUGGGAGAGGGAAGUGGAAUUUCCGGUGUAGCGGUGAAAUGCGUAGAUAUCGGAAGGAACACCAGUGGCGAAGGCGGCUUCCUGGCCCAACAUUGACGCUGAGGUGCGAAAGCGUGGGUAGCGAACAGGAUUAGAUACCCCCGUAGUCC
rnacentral:rRNA from 1 species